rnacentral:tmRNA from 2 species
GGGGAUGACGAGCAUUGACGGCCCGGACGUUCCACUUCCGCAGACCGAGCGUGGGAACCGCUCGUAAAUCACUUCCCACGAAGACAAAUGCCAACGUCUUCUCGAAGGUGAAGGACGCGAUCGCUUCGGCGUUUCGCGCUCCGGCACCCGCCAUGGCUCUCGUCUAAGACGAUCGAGCCAUCCGGUCCCGCAUGAGUCGUCCGAACUCAUGCGCAAGACCGUCAUAUGAUCGGACUCGCUCUUCUGCGCUCAUCGCCCGCAGAGGGGGACAUGGCGGCGGUGGGGACGCGCGGUUCUUGUCCGCUUAUCGCUGCGCGUCGACGACUCUGAACGGACCAAGUCUGUGAACGAGGAGGUCGACGGUCGGGACCAGACGGGGGUGCAACUCCCCCCAUCUCCACCA